rnacentral:tRNA from 1 species
GCGAGAGUGGCGAAACUGGCAGACGCGCUGGAUUUAGGUUCCAGUGCCGAAAGGCGUGCGGGUUCGACUCCCGCCUCUCGCA